rnacentral:lncRNA from 1 species
UCAUAUGCUAGACUCGACCCACACGAUGUAAUCUGCUCAUCGAUGACAUGCAUCAAUCUACCACUCUGUGUAACCCUUUCUUCAUCUUUACUGCCACAGACAUGACAAAGAGCAUACAGAGAGCAAGAGCAAUAAAACAUCAUAAGCAUAGCAAAUCACAUAAACAGCAAAAAUCCAAGGAAAUCCAUAGUUAAAGAACAAAAAAUCUAAUGAGUUUCUGAUUUAUACAAUUUGAUUCGAGCGCAUCCAAUUCAACUAAAUAAGCACUUGAAAGAGGUAGUGUCAAUAAACAUCUAUAAUAAUUUGAAUAAUACUUUGGAGUAUAGAGCUAUGGCCAUAGUGACAGAGAAUCCUAAAUCUCCUGAGGGAAAAGGAAGGUGGUUUGCCAAUAAUUCAGCACAUCGCCACAGUAACACACCACAGUUCUUAUUCCUUCAAAUCUGAUGCCUCCUAUGCCCCCGUUCUGGAUACGCUGGUUUGGGUUCUGUACUUCGUGAUGAAGACAAUACUAUCAAAGCUUCGGUUCGUAUUCCUUGCAAAGCCGAAUGAAUGCAUGACCAUUUUUGCCGGAUUGUUAAGAGCACAACAGGGAGGAAUCACCAAUCUGAAAGUGAAAUCGGACUUCUUACAAGCCAUCAGCUACCUCAAAAAGACCACUCUCUCUGACUGCUUUACUUUAGCAACUCAUGUCGAUUGAACACGAUGAACCCAUAUCAAAAGAGCAUUCUCUGUGACUGCUUUACUUUAGCAACUCAUGUCAAUGUAACUCGAUGAACCCGUAUCAAAGGGGAGGAUAACAAAUCUGCUCAUGAUGUAGCAUACCAAGCUAGAAACAAUUUGUAAUCACUCACUAUGAAGUGCACCCUAGCAGAAAUCCUCCAGCACACCAUCCUUUUUGUGCUGACUCUACAACUAAACUAAUAUAGUCUCUUUCUUCACAAAAAAAAAAACACUGAGCUUAAUCCUACAUAAAAGUCAGAAUUCCUUAUCGAUGAUCCACGUUUACAGUAUCAUAUAAAAUAUGCAAAGGUCUUGUAGCACAAUUGUAUCAAACAUAGCAAGCAAAAGGAGCCAAUGAUCAGAAUGUAGCAGAACUAAACACCUCUAUGUCAGAACAACUGGAACACUUAACCAAAACCAACCUGGGAUCCUCUCCGCUACUCCUGUUAGGUUCAGCUGUCAUAAACUGUUGAAACCCUAAAUUGGACAUAAAUCCCCAGGGACUGCCUCAUUAUUGCUCUGUGUUCCCUGACUAAACCGGCCAGCACAUUUUCCACUUCAGAUCAAUGGCCUAUUCUCACGUCUUUAUCCAACAAGUCAUUGUAUUUUAUGAGCUGGAUCAAUCCUUAGGACAAGAUUGAUAUCAAUCCAUCCAAGAGUUACCAUUAGUGCAUUACAUGUAAAAGAAUCAACCAUCCAAUGAACACUGGGCAGCUCAACUAUCAGAAGCCAUUUACGACCAUGAGAGAUCACCACAAGACCAAACUAAAACUUCACAUUAACAUAUUCUUCAGACAUCUUCCUGAACCAAUGAUCUUUUUUGAUUUGCGUAGACUUCACACUUGAGGUCAUCAAAUCACAACCUUUGAUGAACUCAACAAUGCCAGUCUCUGUCUUCGACAAGAUUUCCAAGCGGAAGAUAUACAUCUGGUGACUUCACACUUGAGUGUUGCCUGUUCACGUGCUUAUCAGGUCAUCAUCAUAUUACAUCUUAAAAUCAUUCAAGUGUUUGUCUUGCUCCUUCAUGUACUAGAUAGUUCCACCAGAAAUGAAAUCAAAAUAUCAUCAACCUUAGGUUGACAAAAAUCUCAAUUUCAUAUUUGCCUAUAAUCCCAACAAAAAGAACAAAUCUUUAAGGAUAGCACUCAUUACACUAAAAAAACCAACUUUAUCAAAAAUAAAGAUCAGAAAAAUAACAACUGAUUCAAGAAUGUAAUUGGAUCAGAAAAACCUAAAGUUGCAAGCAAAACUUAUAUACAGUUUCAGAUUUCAAGAAUGCAUUGGGAAUGAUAGAGAACCUAAGCCACCUGGUAAGAUUCACUGAAUGAAGGAAGAAAGCUUGCAUACAGUACAAGAUAAUUAACACUGAACGAAAUAAGAAAAAGGAGGAAAGGAACGAAGAUCACUCAUAAGCCACAAAGUAGGAAAUGAGAAGGAAAACGGAGGAAAAAAAAGGAAAAGGAAGUCAAGAAACGGACCUAAUAUUUAAGAAAGAGGGAUCAAAACCCCGUCGCCGCCGCAUCCUCUCUUCUACAUUCUCUUCUUCCCUUGCCUCCGCCUCGGCUAGAGUUAUCGCAGCCAAGGGGAGGGAGUCACUCACGGAUCGCACG